GAUGAACGCUGGCGGCGUGCCUAAUACAUGCAAGUCGAGCGAACAGACGAGGAGCUUGCUCCUUUGACGUUAGCGGCGGACGGGUGAGUAACACGUGGGUAACCUACCUAUAAGACUGGGAUAACUUCGGGAAACCGGAGCUAAUACCGGAUAAUAUUUCGAACCGCAUGGUUCGAUAGUGAAAGAUGGCUUUGCUAUCACUUAUAGAUGGACCUGCGCCGUAUUAGCUAGUUGGUAAGGUAACGGCUUACCAAGGCAACGAUACGUAGCCGACCUGAGAGGGUGAUCGGCCACACUGGAACUGAGACACGGUCCAGACUCCUACGGGAGGCAGCAGUAGGGAAUCUUCCGCAAUGGGCGAAAGCCUGACGGAGCAACGCCGCGUGAGUGAUGAAGGUCUUCGGAUCGUAAAACUCUGUUAUUAGGGAAGAACAAACGUGUAAGUAACUGUGCACGUC
rnacentral:rRNA from 1 species